GAUGAACGCUAGCUACAGGCUUAACACAUGCAAGUCGAGGGGAAACGACAUCGAAAGCUUGCUUUUGAUGGGCGUCGACCGGCGCACGGGUGAGUAACGCGUAUCCAACCUGCCCAUCACUUGGGGAUAACCUUGCGAAAGUAAGACUAAUACCCAAUGACGUCCAUAGAAGACAUCUGAAAGGGAUUAAAGAUUUAUCGGUGAUGGAUGGGGAUGCGUCUGACUAGCUUGUUGGCGGGGUAACGGCCCACCAAGGCGACGAUCAGUAGGGGUUCUGAGAGGAAGGUCCCCCACAUUGGAACUGAGACACGGUCCAAACUCCUACGGGAGGCAGCAGUGAGGAAUAUUGGUCAAUGGGCGAGAGCCUGAACCAGCCAAGUAGCGUGCAGGAUGACGGCCCUAUGGGUUGUAAACUGCUUUUAUAAGGGAAUAAAGUGAGCCUCGUGAGGCUUUUUGCAUGUACCUUAUGAAUAAGGACCGGCUAAUUCCGUGCCAGCCGCCGCAGUAA
rnacentral:rRNA from 1 species